UACGGGGGGGGCAAGCGUUGUUCGGAAUUACUGGGCGUAAAGGGCUCGUAGGUGGCCCCAUAAGUCAGACGUGAAAUCCCUCGGCUCAACCGAGGAACUGCGUCUGAGACUGUGGGGCUUGAAUCCGGGAGAGGGAUGCGGAAUUCCUGGUGUAGCGGUGAAAUGCGCAGAUAUCAGGAGGAACACCGAUUGCGAAGGCAGCUCGCUGGGACGUUACUGACGCCGAGACGCGAAAGCGUGGGGAGCAAACAGG
rnacentral:rRNA from 1 species